UUUUUUUUUGUUAUGAUUUUUGUUACAUUCUUUGACUAGUGUUAAAAAAUGAAAAUCCGCAAAGUAUUCCUAAUUGGGUGUUACCCCGACAUAAGAAACCUCGCUAAGAUUAAAAGUGCACAGUGUUUGGGAUUGUGAGGGUAGGGCCUCUAACAGCAUAGAUGCGCCCAAAAUUCACUAAUGAUCCUUCCGCAGGUUCACCUACGGAAA
rnacentral:misc_RNA from 1 species